AUUGAACGCUGGCGGAAUGCUUUACACAUGCAAGUCGAACGGCAGCACGGACUUCGGUCUGGUGGCGGGUGGCGAACGGGUGAGUAAUACAUCGGAACGUGCCAGUCGUGGGGGAUAACGUAGCGAAAGCUACGCCAAUACAGCAUACGAACUCAGGAUGAAAGCGGGGGAGUGUAAGACAUCGCGCGAUGGGCGCGGCCGAUGGCAGAUUAGGUGGUUGGUAGGGUAAAGGCCUACCAAGCCGACGAUCUGUAGCUGGUCUGAGAGGAUGAUCAGCCACACUGGGACUGAGACACGGCCCAGACUCCUACGGGAGGCAGCAGUGGGGAAUUUUGGACAAUGGGCGCAAGCCUGAUCCAGCCAUUCCGCGUGCAGGAUGAAGGCCUUCGGGUUGUAAACUGCUUUUGUACAGAACGAAAAGGCUCUGGUUAAUACCCGGGGCUCAUGACGGUACUGUAAGAAUAAGCACCGGCUAACUACGUGCCAGCCGCCGCCGUAACAC
rnacentral:rRNA from 1 species